rnacentral:rRNA from 1 species
CCUACGGGUGGCAGCAGUCGAGAAUCAUUCACAAUGGGGGAAACCCUGAUGGUGCGACGCCGCGUGGGGGAAUGAAGGUCUUCGGAUUGUAAACCCCUGUCAUGUGGGAGCAAAUUAAAAAGAUAGUACCACAAGAGGAAGAGACGGCUAACUCUGUGCCAGCAGCCGCGGUAAUACAGAGGUCUCAGGCGUUGUUCGGAAUCACUGGGCGUAAGGCGUGCGGAGGCUGUUUCGUAAGUCGUGUGUGAAAGGCGCGGGCUCAACCCGCGGACUGCACAUGAUACUGCGAGACUAGAGUAAUGGAGGGGGAACCGGAAUUCUCGGUGUAGCAGUGAAAUGCGUAGAUAUCGAGAGGAACACUCGUGGCGAAGGCGGGUUCCUGGACAUUAACUGACGCUGAGGCACGAAGGCCAGGGGAGCGAAAGGGAUUAGAUACCCGAGUAGUC